AACGAACGCUGGCGGCGCGUCUUAAGCAUGCAAGUCGAACGGCAAGAUUGGUGCUUGCACCGAUCCUAGAGUGGCGGACUGGUGAGUAACGCGUGGGUGACGUACCCUAAGGAUGGGGAUAGCUGGUAGAGAUAUCAGAUAAUACCGAAUAUCCUUAUUGUUGUUAGAGGACAGUAAGGAAAGGAGCUUUGGCUUCGCCUAAGGAUCGGCCCGCGUACUAUUAGCUAGUUGGUGAGGUAACGGCUCACCAAGGCGACGAUAGUUAUCCGGCCCAAGAGGGUGAACGGACACAUUGGGACUGAGAUACGGCCCAGACUCCUACGGGAGGCAGCAGCUAAGAAUAUUCCGCAAUGGAGGAAACUCUGACGGAGCGACGCCGCGUGGAUGAUGAAGGCCGGAAGGUUGUAAAAUCCUUUUAAGCAAGAAGAAUAAACUUUACAGGGAAUGGUAGAGUGGUGACGGUAUUGCUUGAAUAAGCAACGGCUAAUUACGUGCCAGCCGCCGCAGUAAUAC
rnacentral:rRNA from 1 species